CACGUAGGCACCAAGCGUUGUCCGGAUUUAUUGGGCGUAAAGAGCUCGUAGGCGGUUCGGUAAGUCGGGUGUGAAAUCUCUGGGCUCAACCCAGAGGGGCCACCCGAUACUGCUGUGACUAGAGUGCGGUAGGGGAGUGGGGAAUUCCUGGUGUAGCGGUGAAAUGCGCAGAUAUCAGGAGGAACACCAGUGGCGAAGGCGCCACUCUGGGCCGUAACUGACGCUGAGGAGCGAAAGCCAGGGGAGCGAACGGG
rnacentral:rRNA from 1 species